CCUACGGGUGGCAGCAGUGAGGAAUAUUGGUCAAUGGCCGGAAGGCUGAACCAGCCAUGCCGCGUGAAGGUCAGUGCCCUAUGGGCGUUAAACUUCUUUUGUGCGGGAGCAAUAAUGGUCACGUGUGGCCAGACGAGAGUACCGUACGAAUAAGCAUCGGCUAACUUCGUGCCAGCAGCCGCGGUAAUACGGGGGAUGCAAGCGUUAUCCGGAUUUAUUGGGUUUAAAGGGUGCGUAGGCUGUGGGGUAAGUCAGCGGUGAAAUGCCCCCGCUCAACGGGGUGAAGUGCCAUUGAUACUGCCAUGCUGGAAUGCGGAUGCCGUGGGAGGAAUGUGUGGUGUAGCGGUGAAAUGCAUAGAUAUCACGCAGAACACCGAUUGCGAAGGCAUCUCACGAAACCGCGAUUGACGCUGAUGCACGAAAGCGUGGGUAUCAAACAGGAUUAGAUAUCCGAGUAGUC
rnacentral:rRNA from 1 species